UACGUAGGCAGCAAGCGUUGUUCGGAGUUACUGGGCGUAAAGGGUGCGUAGGCGGCUAUUUAAGUUUGGUGUGAAAUCUCCCGGCUCAACUGGGAGGGUGCGCCGAAUACUGAGUGGCUAGAGUGCGGGAGAGGAAAGUGGAAUUCCUGGUGUAGCGGUGAAAUGCGUAGAUAUCAGGAGGAAUACCGAUGGCGAAGGCAGGUCUCUGGGCUGACACUGACGCUCAUGCACGAAAGGCGUGGGGAGCAAACGAGAUACGAAACCCG
rnacentral:rRNA from 1 species